GGGAAGUAGCUCAGUAGGUUAGAGCGAUAGACGUAGGUGUCGCGGGUUCGACUCCCGCUCCUA
rnacentral:tRNA from 1 species